rnacentral:lncRNA from 1 species
GGGAUUAUAGGUGUCAGCUACCACACAGUUUUAUUUCAUGCUGAGUAUUGCAGUGUCUCAAAAACAAAAUCCUUUAAUCCAGCACUUGGGAAGCAGAGACAGGUGUAUCCCUGAGUUCAAGGCUGGUCAGGGGUAUACAGUAAGACUCUGCCACAAAGCAAACAAAAAAGUUUGGAGCUGGGCAUGGAGGUAUACACCUUUAAUCCCAGCAUUUAGGAAGUAGAGGCACAACUCUUAUCUGUGUUUGAGGCCAAUCUGGUCUAAAAAUUGAGUUCCAGACACCACGGCUAUUACACUAAGAAACCCUGUCUUAAAGAGGAGGAAGUAGUAAUAGUAGUCGUCGUCGUCAUCGAAUUUGUCGAAUUUGUUUGGGACUCUAGCUCAGUGGUACAGCACUUGUGAAGCAUGUUCAAGAUUCAGUCUUCAUUACCAACAUUAGAAUUUGAAUGUUUGCCAGAUGUUUGUGUACUGUAGAGAAUGGUCUAUGGAAUGCACCUUCACAGCACCUAGCCCAGUAAAGGAUGUCACCUAUCAUUUACUGUAUAGAAGAUUUGGGGUCAGACUGGUUCCCAGGCUGGGAUCUCAGGCUAAAGGUCCAAACCUUUCUAGUUCAAGUCAACUUUGGAUAGAAGAGACCUGGACUUUAUUAUCUUUUACUUCACUCCCUCAGAAGAUGCCCCAGUGCCUGUAUCUCUGUCCACACAGAUUCCUCAUGCGAGUGCUGGACUCAUACGGGGAUGACUACCGGGAUAGCCAGUUCACCAUUGUGUU